GCAGAAGCUCCUCUGCAUGCAGAGGACACUCCGGAAUUGCAAUAGGCUCCCCACAUCACAGUCACUCCUCUCUCCUAGAAGAACAGUUGGAUAAAUCAUCACAGAGGUCUCCAGGGUUAAAUUCCAACCUCUCAGAGCAGAUCAGUUGGUUACCAAAAGACUUCAGCGGGCCCCGGAUAGCACUGCAACAUGACCAGCUGCUGCCAAAGGAUGCCUCUGCAGUAUUUUACUCAGAGAGUUCUUCCCUGUGGAUCCCCUCAGCAGCUUUGCCAGAACUGAACCUAAGCUCAGCUGCUAAGGCAGCAAAUUGCACAGCUUAA
rnacentral:lncRNA from 1 species